rnacentral:pre_miRNA from 1 species
CUACAAGCGUUCCCUUUGUGUGAGGUAGUCGGUUGUAAAGAUAAGAAAUACACCUGAAGGCGAUAUCUAUACAACCCACUAACUUUCCAAAAGGUUUUGCACA